rnacentral:rRNA from 1 species
AUAACGACUCUCGGCAACGGAUAUCUCGGCUCUCGCAUCGAUGAAGAACGUAGCGAAAUGCGAUACUUGGUGUGAAUUGCAGAAUCCCGUGAACCAUCGAGUCUUUGAACGCAAGUUGCGCCCGAAGCUAUCAGGCUGAGGGCACGUCUGCCUGGGCGU